UUGUUUGGUUGAUUGCUUGUUUGGUUUGUUUGUUUGUUGUUUGGUUGGUUGAUUUUGAUUGGUUUGAUUUUUGUUUGUUUGUUUGGUUGAUUUUUGUUUGGUUUGAUUGUUUGCUUUCUGUUUGGUUGGUUGGUUAGUUUGUUGUUUGCUUGUUUUUUGUUUGUUUGAUUUUUGUUUAUUUGGUUGAUUGCUUAGUUGUUUGGCUGUUUAUUGUUUGGUUGAUUGUUUUGGUUUGUUGUUUGUUUGGUUGAUUGGUUGCUUAGUUGUUUGGCUGUUUGUUUAUUGUUUAGUUGAUUGGUUUGUUUGUUUGGUUGAUUGGUUGCUUAGUUGAUUGUUUGGCUGUUUGUUUAUUGUUUAGUUGAUUUUGGUUUGUUUGUUUGGUUGAUUGGUUGCUUAGUUGUUUGGCUGUUUGUUUAUUGUUUAGUUGAUUGGUUUGUUUGUUUGGUUGAUUGGUUGCUUAGUUGAUUGUUUGGCUGUUUGUUUAUUGUUUAGUUGAUUGUUUUGGUUUGUUGUUUGUUUGGUUGAUUGGUUGCUUAGUUGUUUGGCUGUUUGUUUAUUGUUUAGUUGAUUGUUUUGGUUUGUUGUUUGUUUGGUUGAUUGGUUGCUUAGUUUGUUUGGCUGUUUGUUUAUUGUUUAGUUGAUUGUUUUGGUUUGUUGUUUGUUUGGUUGAUUGGUUGCUUAGCUGUUUGGGUGUUUGUUUAUUGUUUAGUUGAUUGGUUUGUUUGUUUGGUUGAUUGGUUGCUUAGUUUGUUUGGCUGUUUGUUUAUUGUUUAGUUGAUUGUUUUGGUUUGUUGUUUGGUUGAUUGUGUCGUUUGUUUGCUUGCUUUUUGUUUAUUUGGUUGGCGGGUUGUUUAGUUGUUUGUUUGUUUAUUUGGUGUUCCAUUUAUAUAGUGCCUUUCUUACAUCCAAGGCCGUUUUAUAGCCUUACAGUAACACAAAACGCAAAAUAAAUAAAAUUUUUAAAAAAAUAAACUCUUACGUAACCAUCGGAAAUACUGUGGCAAGAGAAGAACAUUUCUGUGAAAGGCUUUAGUAUUGUUAUUUGUAAAAUAUUUUAGGUUUCAUAGAUGUUCCUUAUCUCAAGCGGCAAGGAAGGGGGAAAAAAAUUCUCAUUUCAAACGUGUUUCCUUUUUCUGAUUGAGGUCUAAAAUAUUCUCCAUUCUAUAAUCAUUUUUCAUACCUGCCUUUUGCCUUUAUAAUUGCUGACCUGUUUGUUUGCUUGUUUAUUAGCUAGCAUUCCACUUAUAUAGAGUUUUUCCGAAGUAACACGGAACCCUUAAGGAACUCUUAACGAGUAGAAAGAGACGUGUAAUAUUGUGUGAAAGGGAAAGUCUCUUGUUCACACAGCAUUGUUUUUUGUUUUUUUUAGGAAACACCUUUAGUAUGCUCUCAGUUGUAAUCAUGGUAUUUUAUUUGUCGAUCAUUUGUAACCUUGAGGUACAUUCUUCUUCAACAUGAUCGCUGACAAAUUCUUGUGUACGACAGGAACAAACGAAACCCUCAUGACGGAGAUGACCGAGACGGUUUUGCGUACUGUCCGAACGCUCGUACCUGUGUGAUGUGAGGAUCACGGCGCAUUUUCCCAUCACUUCAUCAGAGAUGAUCUUCCAGAGGUGGCGUUUGGAGCGCGGGUCCAUUCCUGAGCUGGGCUCGUCCUGCGCGAGAGAGGGGGCCAAGCACACAAAGCAGUCACGCCGUACAAGUGACCACUCGUGUGAUGUAAGGUCAUACACACUCACGAGUCAUGAGGGACCGUCAACGCGAGUGCGCUGAGAACGUUAGCGGGAAGCUCAGAAAAGCCGCGAUGCCCCUGAUGCGAGCGUAGAAGUACAGGUGCUCUUCUCCCGUCAGCAGGUCAUCCAGAGCGUCCACCUGCGGGCAGUAGCCGAUGUUUAUCCCCUCCGUCCUGCAGUCCAUGAUGUCCAC